rnacentral:rRNA from 1 species
GACGUAGGGCGCGAGCGUUGUCCGGAUUUAUUGGGCGUAAAGAGCUCGUAGGCGGCUUGUCGCGUCGACUGUGAAAUCCCGCGGCUCAACUGCGGGUCUGCAGUCGAUACGGGCAGGCUAGAGUUCGGUAGGGGAGACUGGAAUUCCUGGUGUAGCGGUGAAAUGCGCAGAUAUCAGGAGGAACACCGGUGGCGAAGGCAGCUUACUAAGGAGUAACUGACGCUGAGGCACGAAAGUGUGGGGAUCAAACAGG